CCCUAUGGGGUGCAGCAGGCGAGAAAACUCUGCAGUGUGCGAAAGCACGACAAGGUUAAUCCGAGUGGUUUCUGCUAAAGGAACCUUUUGUCAGUCCUAGAAACACUGAUGAAUAAGGGGUGGGCAAGUUCUGGUGUCAGCCGCCGCGGUAAAACCAGCACCUCAAGUGGUCAGGAUGAUUAUUGGGCCUAAAGCAUCCGUAGCCGGCUCUGUAAGUUUUCGGUUAAAUCUGUACGCUCAACGUACAGGCUGCCGGGAAUACUGCAAAGCUAGGGAGUGGGAGAGGUAGACGGUACUCGGUAGGAAGGGGUAAAAUCCUUUGAUCUAUUGAUGACCACCUGUGGCGAAGGCGGUCUACCAGAACACGUCCGACGGUGAGGGAUGAAAGCUGGGGGAGCAAACCGGAUUAGAUACCCGGGUAGUCCCAGCUGUAAACCAUGCAAACUCAGUGAUGCAUUGGCUUGUGGCCAAUGCAGUGCUGCAGGGAAGCCGUUAAGUUUGCCGCCUGGGAAGUACGUACGCAAGUAUGAAACUUAAAGGAAUUGGCGGGGGAGCACCACAAGGGGUGAAGCCUGCGGUUCAAUUGGAGUCAACGCCCGAAAUCUUACCCCGAGAGACAGCAAAAUAAAGUCGAGCUGAAGACUUUCCCCACAACUGAGAAGUGGGUGCUGGGCC
rnacentral:rRNA from 1 species